GAAGAAUAUCUACAAGUGAGAGUUUCUGGCCAGAGUUUAAUCAUGUUAAAUUUUUCUAUAAAUUACCAUUCUUCAUUUUAUAACAAUAAUAUCAUUUGUCAUUUUACAUCUUGUCUACAACACUUGAUAUGGCAUCUUUCCCCACAGCCUCACCCAUAAAUUGUUCUGACAAACAUGAGUGUUUUGCUAAUCUAUUGUCUAAAGGUAGUCUCUGUUGAUAUCUCCCUGACCAAACCCCUUGUGUAUGCAUGGGCAGAUACAGAGGAAACUCAGUGAUCAACAUCAAGUAUCUUUCUCAAUUGCUCUCCACCAAUAUUUUUUGAGAUGGUGUUUUAAGAUAGGGUUUCUAUCACUGUGAAGAGUCACCAUGACGAUGGUGACUCUUAUAAAGAAAGACAUUUAAUUUGACCCCGUUCCAGAUCCAUUUUCAUCAUGGUAGGAAACAUGGCGGUAUACAGGCAGACAUGGUGCUAGAGCAGGAGCUGAGAGUUCCAUAUCUUGUUCGGCUAGCAGCAGAAGCAACUAUGAGCCACACUAAGUGUAGCUUGAACAUAGGAGACCUCAAAGCCUUCCUCUUCCUCAGUGACACUCUUCCUCCAACAAGGCCACACCUACUCCCAAAGGCCACACCUACUCCUACAAGACCACACUUCCUAAUAGUGCCCCUCCAUACAAGCAAGCAUUCAAACACUUGAGUCUACAGGGAUCAUUUCUACUCAAACAACAGAUAGGUUUUCUUAUUGAACCUGGAACUUGCUGUCCAGUGGCUCUCAAGCAUCCUCUUGUCUCCACUUCCCUACAGCUCAGAUUAUAGGCACAUACCACCAUGUAUGGCUUUUACACCAGAUCAAACUCUGCUCUUCAAGCUUACGCAUCAAGCACUUUAUACUAACGGAACUAUUUCCCUUUUAUGGAUUCAUUACUACAAUUUUUGAAAAUGUUUACAAGUUUGCUCGGUCUGCCCUUUGAUUCUGUUCAUAAGUGAUUUGGGCUUUGAAAUUAGCACCUGACAUUUUGAAAGCUAUGCCCUGGUCUCAGGACUCUACCCUGCAUAUCUGAGAGGUUCAGUGAAAACAUAGGAAGUUAUGACUUAGGCUGAACUGUUACUGGGUUUAAGUUUAAGUUUAAGUGGCUAUUCUGGGUGCUUCCUUGGGUCUCCACCUUAGAGGCUCAUCUAAUUGUAAGUAUCUUCAAUCCUCUGCCAUGCCUAAGAAGAGUAUCUGAAGCCGAACCUGGAUCGGGGGAUUUAAGUGCUAUCUGGAGUCGCCCAGCUCAGUUAACAACAGGUCUGUAGCUUUGAAGAAUUUUCCUGCUUGGGCGUGAGGAGGCACAGUGUCCUGGGCCAAUGAGGGUUCAGAGGAAUACUGUAUAUCAUCAAGUCCUGUGCGCAGGCACACCUCAGUUCAGUACAAUCAACUCCUGGAAACAAACCACUCUUGUGGCCAGAGAGUAGUGACGGCAAGAGUAUAAGACAAUGGGGAGAAGAUAGCAACCGUCCAGAGAGGAGCAAAACAGCUGAUAAAAAAAUAUUUUGAACAUUUCCCACAGAGAGAAACAACUAUUUAAAGUGACUGACUGACUGAUGGUAAUCUAGUUGUCCUUAACAAAUCAUGACAUGCCAGACACAUAUAUUGAACUAUGGAGGUACUCCUGGUAAAUAUAUAGAACCGUUAUACCAAUUAGGAAUAACAGGUGAAGACAUAAUAAGAAGAUAAUUCUCUAUGAUGCCUUAAAAUUUACGAAACAGUUCCUCUUCUGCCGCUCAAGAUCACCACACCAGUGUGAAAGGAGGCACUUCGCAACUAUAGGCUCUGCACCCCCAAACAAAGCUAAAUGGUGUUAAGCUAUAUCGGAUCACAUGGGUAGCAAAGAAGAGAGGUGAGGAAAAGGGUGGGUGCUGUGUCAGUGGGCAAUGGGCAGCAAGAUGGGGGUGCUGUAGUCACACAGUCCCCAGGACAAGAAGGUCCGUAGCUAAGUUCAAUGCUCCGCACUUGCCACUUAAAUUUCUUAAUACAUCUUUCAUAGAGGAUGCUGUAAUUCCAUUUUGUGCAGAACCAUUCCUACCAAAUUUUGUUUUAAAUUUUUUUCCUCUUAUGAAUUAGAGCAGUACAUGUAAACUC
rnacentral:lncRNA from 1 species